rnacentral:rRNA from 1 species
UACGGGGGGAGCAAGCGUUGUUCGGAUUUACUGGGCGUAAAGAGCGCGCAGGCGGUCGUUCAAGUCGCGUGUGAAAGCCCCCGGCUCAACUGGGGAGGGUCACGCGAUACUGAUCGACUUGAAGGCAGGAGAGGGUAGUGGAAUUCCCGGUGUAGUGGUGAAAUGCGCAGAUAUUAGGAGGAACACCGGUGGCGAAGGCGCUGCUCUGGGCCGAUACUGACGCUGAGGAGCGAAAGCGUGGGUAGCAAACAGG